rnacentral:rRNA from 1 species
ACUCAAAGGAAUAGACGGGGGCCCGCACAAGCGGUGGAGCAUGUGGUUUAAUUCGACGCAACGCGAAGAACCUUACCUGGGCUCGAACGGCCUCUCAACGGCGGUGGAAACAUCGCUAUCCCGCAAGGGAGUGGGGUCGAGGUGCUGCAUGGCUGUCGUCAGCUCGUGUCGUGAGAUGUUGGGUUAAGUCCCGCAACGAGCGCAACCCUUGUCCUGUGUUGCAACCCCGCAAGGGGGCACUCUCAGGAGACCGCCAGCGAUAAGUUGGAGGAAGGUGGGGAUGACGUCAAGUCAUCAUGGCCUUUAUGUCCAGGGCUACACACGUGCUACAAUGGGCGGUACAAACCGACGCCAACCCGCGAGGGGGAGCAAAUCGGAAAAAACCGCUCUCAGUUCGGAUCGCAGGCUGCAACUCGCCUGCGUGAAGCUGGAAUCGCUAGUAAUGGUAUAUCAGAACGAUACCGUGAAUACGUUCCCGGGCCUUGUACACACCGCCCGU